GACGAACGCUGGCGGCGUGCCUAAUACAUGCAAGUAGAACGCACAGUUUAUACCGUAGCUUGCUACACCAUAAACUGUGAGUUGCGAACGGGUGAGUAACGCGUAGGUAACCUGCCUGGUAGCGGGGGAUAACUAUUGGAAACGAUAGCUAAUACCGCAUAAUAUUGAUUAUUGCAUGAUAAUUGAUUGAAAGAUGCUAUUGCAUCACUACCAGAUGGACCUGUGUUGUAUUAGCUAGUAGGUGAGGUAACGGCUCACCUAGGCGACGAUACAUAGCCGACCUGAGAGGGUGAUCGGCCACACUGGGACUGAGACACGGACCAGACUCAUACGGGAGGCAGCAGUAGGGAAUCUUAGGCAAUGGACGAAAGUCUGACCGAGCAACGCCGCGUGAGUGAAGAAGGUUUUCGGAUCGGAAAGCUCUGUUGUAAGAGAAGAACGGGUGUGAGAGUGGAAAGUUCACACUGUGACGGUAGCUGACCAGAAAGGGACGGCUAACUACGUG
rnacentral:rRNA from 1 species